AUAAAAUCUGGGAGCCCAAGCAGCAUAUUUGUGGGAUUUGUCUGACAGAACGCAAUGGAAACAGAGCGUGGCAUUCGCUCCAUCUCCCCCAGAUGUUCCAUAAGUUUCUGCUUCCAUCAGCAAUGUAAGGAAGUGCCCAAUUCCUCCUACCCCCACAUUACUGAGAAUCUUAUCAAAUUUUUUGAUCUUUUCUGAUUGGGCAAGGAAAGCAUCUUUUGGGACCAUCAAAUGCAUCCUGUUCCUGAAGGAGCAGAAACAGUGAAAGCGGACACUUGUCUCAGCUGGCCUCUGUCUCUAGCAUGAAAUCCCUGGAGAGUGAUUUUGCAGCCCCUCUUCCAGAACACAGGAAAAGUCUGGGUGUGGCAAAAGGUGUCCUGAGGAGUGAUGGGAUGUUAGGGCAUGAAGAAGAAUGAAGAAGAGUGUCCAAGACAACUGGUUCAUGUUGCAAUUUUACUGAAGGUCAGCAAAGUGGAGAAUGCUGUUCUGGGAGAACUGGAUGCCUUCAGAUUGUGCCAGCUCUCCAAUCCUGAAGUCAAAAUGGAAUGCAUCUCUGCUCU
rnacentral:lncRNA from 10 species